UCCCUGAUGAUCCAGUGGUUAAGACUCUGCUCUCCCAAUGCAGGGAGCCCAGGUUCGAUCCCUGGUCUGGGAA
rnacentral:tRNA from 1 species